rnacentral:rRNA from 1 species
AUACGGAGGGUGCAAGCGUUAUCCGGAUUCAUUGGGUUUAAAGGGUACGUAGGCGGAUAGAUAAGUUAGUGGUGAAAUCCCGAAGCUCAACUUCGGAACUGCCAUUAAAACUGUCUAUCUUGAAUUUGGUUGAAGUGGGCGGAAUAUGACAUGUAGCGGUGAAAUGCAUAGAUAUGUCAUGGAACACCGAUAGUGAAGACAGCUCACUAAGCCAAUAUUGACGCUGAGGUACGAAAGCAUGGGUAGCGAACAGAAUUAGAUACCCCAGUAGUCC